rnacentral:rRNA from 1 species
AUACAUGCAAGUCGUACGAAGGAGCUUGCUCCUUAGUGGCGAACGGGUGAGUAAUACAUAAAUAAUCUGCCUCAAUGUCUGGGAUAACUAUUGGAAACGAUAGCUAAUACCGGAUAGCUUGUUAGAAGACAUCUUCUUUCAACUAAAGGAGCGUUCGCUCCGCUUUGAGAUGAGUUUAUGGCGCAUUAGUUAGUUGGCGGGGUAAUGGCCC